rnacentral:misc_RNA from 1 species
GAUGAAGAACGCAGCGAAAUGCGAUAAGUAAUGUGAAUUGCAGAAUUCAGUGAAUCAUCGAAUCUUUGAACGCACAUUGCGCCCGCCAGUAUUCUGGCGGGCAUGCCUGUUCGAGCGUCAUUUCAACCAUCAAGCCCCGGGCUUGUGUUGGGGACCUGCGGCUGCCGCAGGCCCUGAAAAGCAGUGGCGGGCUCGCUGUCACACCGAGCGUAGUAGCAUACAUCUCGCUCUGGGCGUGCUGCGGGUUCCGGCCGUUAAACCGCCUUUUAACCCAAGGUUGACCUCGGAUCAGGUAGGAAGACCCGCUGAACUUAAGCAUAUCAAUAAGCGGAGGA